CCCCCUACAUUCCUAGCCUGUGGUAACUUACCUCACUUAGCCUCCCUCUGCUCAUCUGAAGAAUGGAACCAGCAGCCAUUUCAUACACGUGUGAGGGCCUGAGAAGGCACAGAUCCACUUCCUGACACAAGGUACCCACUCUACCCUCCAGCAGCCCUUGGCUAAACCAAGGGAGCCCCCAUGUUCCCAUCCUCUUCUCAUUCCAGCCACCUUUCCUUCUGAGAGUACCUGAUGCCAGUCAGAGACACAUGCCAGGGCCACCGAGCUAGAAAGUUCACUUCCUGCUGACCUUCCUCUUUCUAUAUGUGGGCCUCCCAAGGGACCAGCUCUCAGAGGUACUUGGGAUCCCUCUGUGUGAAGACAAUACCUGCCCCAGUCUUCCAUCCUGUCCAACCAGACUCCGUUGUACUGGCCAUAGGAGUGGGGCCACAGAGAAGGUCAAUGGGGUCCCUUGCUUGCUGGAAACACACUGAGAAUCUGGAGAACACGGCUAUCCAUAGACCAGACUCCACAUAGACAAAACAGGAACUCAGACACACACUCAAGAGAGACAGAUUUCUAGUGAACCAAGCCUCGCUGGACCUCACAAAUGGGGAUACAAAGUUUUUACUUAAACCUCAAAAUAAACCAAGACGCCAGGAAUUUCCAUACCCACCCUACAGAUGGAGAAACAAUACAAAGUUCUAAACACCUUGUUCAAGAUCACAGAGCAGGAAAAUGAGCCGGCAGGACUCUUACUAUCUUCUUGCAGUGGCCCGAUGGAUACCCCUACAAUGCUCGUCCACCUACUGCUCCCAAAGACAAGUCUCUUUGCUUCCUCCGCCUCAUCCUAAACAAGGUACCUCUUUACAGCGCUUUUCCUUCCUUACCCAACUGAAGCCCACCUCCUCCAGGAAGCCUUCUCUAGUUACCUCAGCUUGUUGCCAGCUUAUAGUACUUCCUACUCUUUUGAUACCUUUUAAUAUCUGAUCAUGUGACCUGCCUCCCCACCCAGAACCCUUCCUCUCUCCACAGCUCCCAACACUGAGGAACUGACUGAGGGGAAACCUAUGACCUCCUUGCCUCUCCAUCAUACAAAGGAUCCUGCAAAGAACGCUGAACACCGCCCCCCCACCCACCUUUGGAGCCUAUGCUUCCUGGUGGCCACACAUCAGUUUCCACCUGAGUAAUUGCAGCCCAUCACACAUACAUCAUCCCCUAUAUUUGAAACUCUUUGAGGUUGUCAUGGGAACUGCCUUCGCCUUCAUUCACUGAUCAGACCUCACAAUUAGCUUUGGCAGCGGAAGGCUUUGUCAGUGGCAAUCACCAGGAGGAGGAAGCAGAGGAGAAGGAACAACAGAAGAAAGAUGGUUUUCCUUGGAGAUCCAGCAGAAGCAGACACAGUGAUGGCACUGCUGAUGCCCUGCUGGACAAAGGGGCCGCACCAAACCACCCUCUCGCUUGCCCGUGACAAGUCAGGUCACAUACCUGAGUCCCUGACAGGUCCUGAUGCUCUACCUGUGCUCCCUGCGUCCUGUCAAUGGUUCUCAACUGUCAUAAUGCUGCGACCUUUUAAUAUAGGGUCAUGUGGUGCUGACCCCCAACCACAACAUUUUCGUUGCUACUUCAUAACGGUAAUUGUACUACUAUUAUGAAUUGUAAUGUAGCUAACUGAUAUGCAGGGUUUCUGAUAUGUCACCGCCCCAAAAGGGUUGAGAAUCACUGGUCUAGAUGCUCAGGAGAAGACAGUGUAUUGACUCAAAUGAAACAGUCUUUCGGACCACCAACUCUUCCAGGAGUCAUCAAAUAGCAGGAAACUAUAUGAUGACCCUAUAGAAAAAGGUUAUGUGUGUAUUACACCUCAGGAACCCAGGGUGGCCUGGAGGAAGGACUUCCAAAAGGAAUGAACAGAGAUUUACCCUGCUUUAAGGAUCUGUGAACACCCUCAAGUGUGCCCAGCUGCCUGCAUCUAGACAUCUCUGCCUUUAGCCUCUUUUGAGCUGCACUCCAGGAGCAGAGGGUCAGGGGAGUCACCGCCCUCCUCAAUCCUUCACAAGACAAUACACUCAAACUCUCAACCCAGCCCACUUCCCUUCCCAGCUGGUCUGAAAGAGGCCCAUUAAGGCUAGACUGUCCUCAAGGCACUCCGCCCUUCCAGCUUUAUAACAGAAUUCUGGUAGGAAAAGGUUUCCUUGGUCUCAUGAAGGAUAAAGGUCACACUGUCCCCUCUACUCCUGGCUCAGGCUCAGUGCCUGGCCUGGCCUACACUAGUCGGAGGAGAAGCCUGCUGGAUGGAGCUAGCCACAGGUUAAGACCACCAGACUCUGGAAACUGAGGCAGCACCAAAGAGGAGCUCUACUUCUCCAGGGAUAGGGACAUUGUAGGUCCAGGGGACUCUAGAAGGUAUGUGUUCUCCUUGCUCUAGUGCUUGCUCUUUUCCUCCUGUCCCAACCCCUCCCUGCACCUCUCCUCACCUUCCCACCCCACCCCCAGGCCUCAAGCAAGAACCUAUCCCUCUCCUAGAGUGCCAGCAUCAAUCCUGGAAUCUUUGGGGGAAUGGAGUUACCCCUAUAGGUACAAGUCAAUAAAAAAGACAGGUGAGAACAGCCCAAGGUCUCCCAGACAUGAAUGCCUCAGAAAUGGAACGCUAUAGUCCAGUACCUGGCCCCUUGCUUUUGAAUCAGCUUCUCCUUGUCCCUUCUGAGGCUUCCUCCAACAAUCAAGAGGGGCAGUGAGGUACAAGGACAGCCACAGUUCUGUCCUGUUGUGAGGACCUGGAUUCAUUGUGCCAUCAGCAGUGGGAGACAUGUAAUUUGUCAACUAAUUGCCAGGGUUUAGCAUUCUGGAACCCCCACAAGUCAGUCAGGUCAGCAAUGCAAACAACAGAGCCAUCUGAGAGCCCUGCCCACCACAUUGCUUGAAGCAAUCAAGCAACCCCCAGACUUGAGUUCACCUGAAAGACAACUGAUGAUCUCACACAGAGCUGCUUUCCCAGGCCCCCAUCACCCACCCCCGUCUCAGUCAUUAGCAGAAACUCAGGCUGUCAACUUCUCAUGUAAAUGGUAGACAAGACCACCAAAGUGUACAUAGUCCAGGAGUGGCAGCAGCUUUGGACCCACACAGAUCACCAGGCAGAGGCCUAACAGACUCUUCCAGAACAACCAACUGGACCACAGCGGGUGCAUGAGGAAGAUAAGGGGGUCUUCACCCCCAACAUCCUCUUCCUGAGCUUUCCACUCUUCUUCUAUAGGCAAAGAAGAGAUGGGGACUAGACAUUGAGUCCCAGAAUGGUUUGUCAGCCCACCUAGCCACCACACCGCCUUCUGCAGGAGACAGCCUAAGGCAGAGGGAUGACUCUGGGCUGGGCUGGGCUGUGAACAAGUACGUGCAGGAGAAGUUAACUUGAACAAUGUUCCCCGAGGCUUUGAUCAGGACUAGGUGGAAGGGUCCUAGUAGGGCGUCUCACCGCACUGGAUCCCACUGCUGCACUAAAGAAAAACAUAGUCAUGCCUUCCAGAAUGGUUUCUGAAGUAGGCUAGAAUCAGAAGAAGAUUGUUCUCUUCUAUACCACAGCCAUGAUUCCCAGCCCAAAAGGCCAUUUCCUCAACCUGAAAGAGGCUGUGAUGAGGAUGGAUCUGGGGACCACACAAGGACACCCUCUGUCUAGCUCCUAGCUCUGCCCAAUGGCUCUUCAAUACUGCUUUCUUCUUGAGACAGGGUCUUAGUAUAUAGCGGAGACUGGCCUGGAACUCACCAUGAAAGAGGCUGGACUACAGAAAGAGUUAAGCCAACCUCCAGCUCAGGAGUCCUUUCUGCUUCUACCUCCCAAGUGCUGGGAUUACAGGUAUGAGCCACCGCUCUCCCAUUCUUUCUCUGCACUGUCCAACCUGAGCCAUUAGCCGUAUGCAGCUGAGCGGUUAGAAGGCAGCUAUUGCGACCACUGCUGUAAUUUUAAUUUUAACUUAAAUAGCCAUCCAUGGUUUAUGGAUCUCACAUUGGAUGGCUCAGAUAGAGCACGCUUUUAAAGCCUGGAAUGGCCAUGAGUAUUCUAGGGAAUGUACUACAAACCAAAUACUGUCUCCCCAGGAAGAGAUCCUGUUGCACAUUCAAGAGAAAUUCAGCUGAACCUUUCAGAAAGCUCACAAGCCUGACCUCAACCCAGAUCUGAAACUAAGUCUUGUUAUAGGAUAAAGCCUAGGGCUGGGGUAUAGCUUAGGCAUAAAGUACUCACUUGUCUAAUGUGUUUGAGUUCUAAUUCCCUGCAUGACAAGAGAAAUUAGGGAGCUAGAGAGGUGGCUCCAUUCAGCAAAGUGCUUGCUGUCCAAACAUGAGGAUCCGAGUUUUGAUCUCCAGAACCUACAGCACCCACAUGACAGCCCAGCUUUGAUGCUGCUCUAGCACUGGAGACAGGAUCCUUCUUGGGGGUGGCUGGACAACCAGUCUAUCUGAAUCUUCAGUUACUGAAUCUGAAGACUGUCACAAAAGAAAUAAAAGGGUUGGCCUAGAGACAUGGCUCAGUGGUUAAGAACACGGAGGUUCACUUCCCAGCACCCACAUGUCAGCUAACAACUAUCUUUAACUCUGGUCCAGGGGAUAUGAUACCACCCUUUUCUGGCCUCCACAGACACUGGGCACACACAUGAUGCACAGACAUACACGCAAGUGAAACACCCAUAUACAUAAAAAAAAUAUACAUUUAAAAUAAGGUGGACAGAUCAUGGUAGCAAGAGACAAAAGGGUUCUCUGAGUUCAAGGCCAGCUUAAACCACCUUCAUGAAUUCCAGACCAGUCAGGUCUAUUUAGUGAGAUGCUAUCUCUAAAUAGAAGGUGGACAUCAAUUGAGGAAGACAUUCGAUGUUGAUCAUUGGCCUCUGUGAGUGCAUGUGCACUCACACACAAUCACUCACACACACACACACACACACACACACACACACACACACUACAAAAAUGUGACCAAAAAUGCUAUGGCCCAGGAUAGAUAUUUCUUUUGCAAGGAAGCGGUCUUAGGAAUAUGAAACAACACCUUAUGUUCCCUUCCCACAGACCCUGAAGAUCUCUCCCUCCCUUCUGAUAGCAUCACCAGUCAGCACCCAGCCUCUAUCCAGACACAUGCAAGCACAGGAAACAGCACCCCUCAGACAGCUAACAGUGUAGGAAAAACUGUAAACACACAUUCCUUUUUUCUACCAUGGCUUCAGUUGCCCGCUUAGAAGCUACUAACAGAAGGCCUGUAGACGCCUCCACAGGAAGGAACUGGCUCCUCUUCCACACAACGUUUGUUCUUCCACUCGUUUCUAAGUGACUAGCCCCAUUUCCUUUGAUUGUCCUAUAUGUGACCACUGCGACAGGUCUCAAGAUAGGCAGACAGAAUCCUUUACUGAGUCCCAGCUCUUUCCACCUGGUCAGGAAGCCAAGCCCUGACACGUGCAGCUCUUUUUAAAACAAGCCCAAGAGGGCUGGACAAAUGGCUCAGGCAUUAGGAGCAUUUGUUCUUACAGAGGCCCCAGGUUCGAUUCCUAGUACUCAUGCAAUGGUUUGAAACCAUCCAUGGUUCCAGUUCCAAGAGGAUCCAACACCCUCUUCUGACCUCUGAGGGCACCAGGCAUGCACAUGAGAAAGGAGGCAGAACACUCGUACACAGAAAUUAUUUUAAGAAGUGAAACAAGUCUAGGCCUUUCCACUUAAGUCCCUCUGACUUUGGCCGAGCCUUGCUGCUUAGGCUGCUGCAGUCUCUUCAGCCCUUUGUCCUAUCUUACAGUCACUUCCUCAUCGGCCAACACCCACUCAUGAUCUGCUGUACAAUCUCAGACCCUUCAACCAGACCCAAGAUUCCACAGACAUACCCCUCCCUCUGUUAACCACCAUUUAUGACCUGUGGGCCUCCCUCAUUUAUUACCUCCCUCAUCAGGUUUUCCAGCAGCAAACAUCUGAGAGCCUUCCUGGCUAUUUUCAGAUUGCACCCAAGUCCUUAAACAGUACCACCCCAAACUCACUAGCCCAAGGCACUCCAGAGGAAUGAGAACACAGAGGCAGUCCUGGAUCGGGUUCCCCUUUCCUGGUUGGCAACUAGAAUCCUGUGCCUGACUGUGAGUUAUUUUGCCCCCUUCCCCCUGCCCCAUACCUUCUUCUCCUUGUCUCACAGUGUUAAGAGAUUUACUCUUCAAAUUCUAAUGGUUAUAUAAACCACCUGGGUAUCUGGCCCAACUACAGAUUUGGGUGUAAAAGGUCUGGGAUAAGACCAGAGAUUCUGCAUUCUGUAACAAGCUCUGGAAAACGCUGCAGAUCAGCUGUAUAGCAAGGUAGAAGGGAAGCUAAACCACUUGGUGCGCUGCGACUCUGGUGAGAGCCUUGCCUCUGUAUGCAGCAGAGGGUCUCCACCCUGCACAGCAGAUUUGCUUCAAGAGCCUCAGGCCAGUCAACUCGGCUCUAGGUCGGUUAGGCAGGUGGGAACCCACGCCCUACAAGUGUAACAUUUCCCCAGGUGACCCCAGUGUGGAGUCCCCAUCCACACUGGACGAUGGAACAGGCAGUAAAGCCUGUCAGUUCUGUCCAGGAGGUUUCAAGAGAGAAUCAUUUCUCUGCAGAAACCCAGAUCUUAGCUUCUCUAGGCUGCUUGCUAAGGAACCAUGGGCAUUCCCAUAGCCCAUUGCUAGCCUAAGUUUCACUUCUCUCAAGUAACACCACCACCCUGUCAAUAAUCUGCUCUAGAACUAUCAAAAAUUAACUAUUAUAUUUACAAUUUCCAAACCACUGGGAAAAAACUGGACUUCCUGCCAGUCCUAACCUGCCCUUCGGUCACUUAACACCAUAAUUCUGUAAAGACUGAGGACUUGGAGCACUCAGUAAAAUGUGCAGUAGGGAGCAAAUGGUCAGUGGUGACCGGCUCUCCUUCCCCAGUAUAAACCCCCUAGCACCCAGGGACCCAAUGGCUGCUUUUCCUGCCCCUAAUUAUGCUCCCCAAGUUGGAGGCCUCCUUCACUUCCUUCUCCUUGCUAUACAGAGAAACUGCUGUCAUACGCAUUUCCUACUAGGCAUAGUACAUUCUGGCUACUUGCCUCCCAGUUUGCCUGGGAAGGCUCAGACUGCUCCUGAACCUUCCAUGUCACAAACCCCCAGUGGGCACAACCUUGACCAUCUGUACACUUGACCAUAAUGUGUCAUCACACAAAUGGCUCAGUUAGGCUUGGGCCCCCUUCACUAUCCUUAUCACAUUUCCUUUUGUAAAAAACACUCCCUUCCCUCCACUGACUGUCCUUAUUGAGUCUGUGGCUAUGGGGUUAAAAACAGUAUCUCGAUUUUCUGGUCUUCUGGCCCAGCCUUUUCUCAGGCCUCAAACAUCUGGGUGGGCUUUUUUUUUUUUUUUUUUUUUUUUUUUUAAAGAAUCUCAUCACCUAGCUUACUUA